GACGAACGCUGGCGGCGCGCCUAACACAUGCAAGUCGAACGAGCGAGAGAGAGCUUGCUUUCUUGAGCGAGUGGCGAACGGGUGAGUAACGCGUGAGGAACCUGCCUCAAAGAGGGGGACAACAGUUGGAAACGACUGCUAAUACCGCAUAAGCCCACGGUGCCGCAUGGCACAGAGGGAAAAGGAGCAAUCCGCUUUGAGAUGGCCUCGCGUCCGAUUAGCUAGUUGGUGAGGUAACGGCCCACCAAGGCGACGAUCGGUAGCCGGACUGAGAGGUUGAACGGCCACAUUGGGACUGAGACACGGCCCAGACUCCUACGCGAAGCAGCAGUGGGGAAUAUUGCACAAUGGGGGAAACCCUGAUGCAGCGACGACGCGUGGAGGAAGAAGGUCUUCGGAUUGUAAACUCCUGUUGUUGGGGAAGAUAAUGACGGUACCCAACAAGGAAGUGACGGCUAACUACGUG
rnacentral:rRNA from 1 species